rnacentral:lncRNA from 1 species
AAUAAUACGAAAUGCCAUAGUUUCAACAAACUUAAAUAAGUUCAUAAAAUUAGAAGAAAAAAAAAUAGAGAAAAAAAAUUAUAUAAUUUUCCGUGAACAAUGUGAAUAUUGCUUAACUAAUUUUUCUGUUAGUGGUCAUUUAAUUUUGACAAAAGAAUCCUUACUAUUUGAGCCAGAUUUAAGAGACAAACAUGUGAUUACAUAUGGUUUAGGUACAUAUCAAAUAUUUAUUGAUUUAUAUGACAUUUAUGAAUGUGCUCAUAUAGUUGUUCCAACUAAAGAUAUAUAUUUAUAUACUAAUGAAGACACUUGUGGAUUUAUUCAAGUGCUAUUAAAAAGUAUUUAUAAUAGAAUAUAUGAUGAACCAACAUUACGUAAUAGGAGUAGUUCUAGUUAUUCAACCAAUUUUAACCCAAACAAUGAUGCUAGUGAUGAUACUCCGAAUAAACAAAAAGGAGUAUCAUAUUAUAAAUAUAUAAGUAAAAGUUUAUCUUAUGUAUUUAAUUUAGCUCACCCAUUGAUACAAAACACGUCAUUAAAAGAUAAUAAAAAUGAUUAUAUUGAUAGACCUAAAACACCAGUAGAUAUAUCUAAACAAUUUGGAAAUAGUAAUGAUCAUAAUAUUUAUAACAGUAAUAAUAAUAAUAAUAAUAAUAGUAAUAAUAAUAACAAAAACGAAUAUGAAAACUUAGAAAUUUUAAACAAAACAAAACAAAAAAAAAUUAUUAAUUUUGAUAUAACAUCACCGAAAAAUAAUAACAUCAUUGAUCAUUUGCAUGAUAGUGAUAUGAAAAUUUAUCAAAAAUUUAAUGAAACAAAUUAUAAUCAGGUACAUUCCUCACAUCCUAAUAUAACUUAUAAAAAUAAUUUUAAUUUGGCUAACUAUUCGAGUUAUUCUAAUGAUUUGGAAGAUGAUUCCAAUGAACAAAAGAAAGAACAACAACAAGAUCGGCAACAUGAACAGCAUGAUCAGCAACAUGAGCAACAACAAGAACACCAACAAGAGCACCAACCAGAGCACCAACAAGAGCACCAACAAGAGCACCAACAAGAGCACCAACAAGAGCACCAACAAGGUUCACCAAAGGUGACAAACAGUAACGAAUGUUGUGUCGAUAGUGAUAUAAAAGAAGAAAACAUACAGGGAACGGAACUCCCAAGCAGUCCACUAGAAAAACUAACCGAAAAAGGGAAACCACAAGAAACACUUGAUAAUAUAAAACAAAAUAAAGAUGUUGACUUACGCAAACAAACGCAUAUGUUAGAUAAUAAUGAAAAUAACAAACGAGAAUAUAAUAUAAAAGAAGAAUCUGAAACACCUUAUUCUAGUAAUCCCGAUGGAAAUGAUAU